GCGAGAUUCCGUGGGCGUAGGGCCCUCUGAGCCAGGUGCGGGAUGUAAUCUCCUGAUGCGCAGUUUUUAAGCCCGUUGGAAAAGCGCAGUAUUCGGGUGGGAGAGACCCGAUUUUCCAGGUGCCGUCUGUCACCCCUUUCUUUGACUAGGAAAGGGAACUACCUGACCCCUUGUGCUUCCCGAGUGAGGCAAUGCCUCGCCCUGCUUUGGCUCACGCAUGGUGUGCACACCCACUGACCUGCACCCACUGUCUGGCACUCCCUAGUGAAAUGAAGCCGGUACCUCAGAUGGAAAUGCAGAAAUCACCCAUCUUCUGCGUCGCUCACGCUGGGAGCUGUAGACGGGAGCUGUUCCUAUUCAGCCAUCUUGGCUCCUCCCCACUUUUUUCCAGAAAAGAUACUUGAUAUAAUCUCUAUCUAAUCUUCUUAAAUUUGUAACAAACAAGACAGGACAGAAAAGAAACUGAGGAUCAAUACCAAAAAUGAAACCAUGUUACUGAAGUGAAGACAGAAGCAAAGCUCAAGAUAGGAGAAAUGAUAGCAAUAUAUCACUAAGUCUCUUUCUGCAGCUACAGCUCUCCAACUCAGACAAAUUAAAACUAAGGGACUUGAAAGAAUUUGCUGAUUGAGUUGUGGAACCACUGUCAGUAACUUUAAACAAAUUAUGAAAGUCUGUAAAGAUGUCAAAAAAUUGGAGAGGUAGAUUUCAGAAGUUGUAGGCAGGUAAGAUUUAACCUCAAUGCUUCUAAAAAGUCAAGAAUGUAAUAUUGUAAAUGGUUUGUGUAUACUUAGAAGAGAUCUGGGAGGCAGCAAAGGCCUGUUGGAAACAACUCAUACCAAAGGAGUCUGAUUUCCAUUCUGGAUGGGGUAACUUGGUAGGUAGAAAAAGGAAUGCUCCAGAUAUUGCAUCUCAACAAGUCAUUUGACAAAGUGUCUCAUAAUACCUGAGUCAAUAGGAUGGGAAAUGAGAGCUGAAUACCAGAAUUAGGUGGAAUGAACAACAGAACCCAAACAGUGUUAAUUUAUGUUGCUCUGGAAAGAGUUAUUGAAUGUUGCGCUAUAGAGCUCUGUUCAUGAUCCUGUUCUCUUUUGCAAUUUUAUUUUUUUUUAGAUGAAGACACAGAAGGCAAGUUUAUCAUAUAUGUAAAAGGAAAAAGUUGGGAAAGGCAGUUAACAUUCUGAAUGAUUAACUCAAAAUUGUAAAAGAUGUUGAAUAUUUAUUUAGAACAAAAUAUAAUUUUACAAAAAUGCUAGAAAAAUGGUGGGAACUUUUGUAAGAGCAGAGUUAAAAAAAUAGACUAAGCAUCCCCACCCAGAAAAAAGAAGAAAAAUAAAAAUGGCAUGCAAUGGAUACGAAGAAACUUAAUAGGUGCACAUGUCAAGUUCUGUAUUUAGUUUUGAAAAUCAGAGACCUGAGACUUGAUAGCACUUCAUAGGGAAACAAUCUAGGAAUUUUACUGAUGAGAAGCAGCCUUUGAAUCAAUUAAUAAAACAAAAUGAAACAAAACAAAAAAGCUAAUGCAAUCUUAGGUGGCACUAGUAAAAGCCUAGUAUCCAGAUCUGUAAAAUCAGGGUAAUAAUAAUAAUAAUACCUUCCUCAUAAGAUUUUUGCAAGUAUUAAAUGAGAAAAUUCCUGUAAAACACUUAGGAGUGGUUUAAGUGUAUGCAUUCAAUGAAUAUGUUAUUAUUACUAAAAAGAUAUAUGAUAGUCCUGCUUUACUUGUGCAAAAUCACAUCUAGAAGAGUAUGUCCAUGUAGGGGAUAAUGAGGAGGGUAGAAGUAUCAGAACAAAUGUGAGGACUAGAGAAAACUUGGAUGGAGAAGAUAAGAUAAUGGCAGUCUUCCAAAAUAUUAAGGGCUUGUAAAGAAGAAUUAGAUUUACCCUUCAUGACUCUAAGCAUUACCAAUAGGAGAAAUAAGCAAAAUGCACAGAGACUUAUUUUAGAUCUAUAAGAACAAAUUUCCUAAUAAUCAGAGUUAUUCAAAAUUGAAAUGGACUGUUCAGGAAGUGGUGAGUUUCUUGUCACUUGUGGUGUUUGGACAAAGGCCUGGCAGGAAACUCCAUAAAGGGCAUUCUUGCAUGGGAUGUAUCUAUGCAUGAAUCCAUUUAUUAAGAUUGUUAUGAAACAAUUAGUUAACAGAAACCAGCCGUGGGUCAACAAUCUGAUAAACUCUAGUGGACAUCUAAGGUUCUUUCCAACUCAAUGACUGCAUGAUUUUGAAGAAACAGGUAUAAGCUGUUCCUGACAUGGGAUUUUUUGAUUUCAUAAUGGUGCAAAAGCAAUAUGCAUUCAGUAGAAAUGGUACGUAGAAUUUUGAAUUCUGGCCUUUUUCCAGACUAGCAACAUGAAGUAGGAUACUCCUGUGAUGCUGGGCAGUGGCAGCCAGCCACAGCUCCCAAUCAGUCACUCGAUCAUGAGAGUAAGCAACUGAUCUGUAGGCUAAUGUAAGCUUUCUUAACAUGUUUAACAUAGUCUAGGUUUGAUAGUUUAGGUGUAUUAAAUGCAUUGAUUUUCAAUAUUUUCAACUUACAAUGGGUUUACUGAGAUGUAACCUUAUUAAAAAUCAAGGAAUAACUGUAUCUUCAGCUUCUAGAGAAGAUUGCUAAGCACCAUGUAGAGGUUAUUUUUCUUAGAACUUACCUCUGCUUCUUACUCAUAAUAGCUCCUACAUUGCUUACUGCAAAAGUAAACACCUGCUAUACUAUUCCAUGCUCUGCCCUAGACACCAAUGCCUCAUGAAUCACAUCAAAUACAAGUCUUUACCAUCUGAGCAGCAUGACUUUAUUUAUUUUUUUUCCUCAACUCAUCUGCAAUGCUAGAGGGGCUGUCCACAGCUUCCAAUUCGGGCUUUGCUGCCACUGUGUGAUGCUUCAUGUUGAAGCAGCAUUUUCUUUUCAAUGUAAACAUUUUUAGAAACACUGUGAGGAGAUUUCAGUGUAACAAAUGUACCAGAAUAGCUGUGUCUAGCCUGCUGGGUGAAAUCCUUUUUUGAAAUAAUGUUGGAACAAAGAAAUUCAUUCCCUGUAAAUGGGGAGCUAGUUAGUAAAUCAUAUAAACAGUAUUCACACCCUGUGUUCCAGACGAGGUGCUCUCCCUGCUGCUGUCAGCAACAUUUGCUGCCAAGUCCACUAACUACUUUACCCUGACCUUCAGUGGAUAAACAAUAUAAUCUUCCAUGCUGCAUCUCAUUAGCAUCUGCUAGUCAAGAAAAGCAUGUCUGUUUCAUAAUUACAUCACGAAAGCAUCUUGCUGUAUUAGAACAGCAAAGCAUUUGAAUUAGAAAAUGCACUUGUCCAAGAUUUCCAAGCCAGUAUAAAAGAAUUACAAUUGCCAUCAUUUUACUUGUUAUGUAUGUCCGGUAUAGAACAUGGUCUGAUGGUAGAGUGGGAAGAGAAGGUAUAAACUGGUCACAAUCUUCCAUAUUUAUUUUAAUGUUUUACACUCAUCUUGAUUUUGUCAAAUGUAUUAUUUUUAAAAUUUCUAACUUACCCUUUAAAAAAGAACAUACAACAACAUUUUAACUAUUUUCCUUGGGAACAAAAAGUUUUCCCUUGCCCUUGUUGAAUGACAAUUUGUAAGUCUGUCCUAAUAAAUUUAUCAAACUAGUUAUACAUUCAUAUCCAUUUAGCAAUAUCUAUAAUGUCACCAUUUCUAAAAGAGGCAGCAGUGUGAAAAGGUUAUCAAUUUAUUUUUUAAAUUAUUUUUAUUUUUAAUUUUUGUGGGUACAUGGUGUAUAUAUUUAUUGGGUACAUGAGAUGUUUUGAUACAGGCAUGCAAUGUGAAAUAAUCACAUCAUGGAGAAUGAAGUAUGCAUCUUCUCAAACGUUUAUACUUUGUGUUACAAACAAUCCAAUUAUACUCUUUUGUUGUUGAAAGGGUGGUGGGGGUUAGGGGGUGGGGAUGGUUAAUGGGUACAAAAAAUAGACAUAAUUUAUAGUCAAGGUUAUCAAUUUAGAAGAACUUAAGUCAACAAAGCAGAACUUCCUAAUAUGAAAUCAAAUGAGGUGGCUUAACAUUGCCCCUUAUUCUGUCAUUUGUAUGAAGGUCUAGAUGAUGCCAUCAUUCUACUUUAGGGGAAAUAUUAGGACGAUAUAAUGGAGCUAUCUUUGAUGGGGGAGUGGAAUGACUGGCAUAAUUUUGCCUCCUGGAGUGAAUGGUAAACAAACAGAAAGGAAAAUAGCCACAGCUACUUAGAACUUCAUGGCCAAAAGGGAUGAGAAAGAUCAAUGAUUAAAAGGUUAUAAAGUUGCAUAGAACAUAAGCAGAAGCAUGUACUUUCUAUCCAUAGGAACUGUAGGAUUAGCCAAUGAGUUUUAAAAUGGUGGUGGGUGAAAUUUUUUCAAAUGGGCCUUGAUUCAAAACAUUUAAAAAAUGGGAACACUCACUUAAAAAUGGGUGAAAUACUUAAAGUAAUUCACAAAAUACAUAUAGCUAGAGUCUGGAAAAAUUCAUAUGCACUAGAACUUAGAGGUAAAAACUGAAUAAAAAAUGGGAUAUUGUUUAUCACCUAUGAACUUAAUAAAAAUGACAAAGAAUGAUAAUACUUAGUAUUGGUGAUUGUGUUGACAAAUGGGCAUUCUAAUUCACUGCUGGUGUAUACAUUUUCUGAAGAGCAAGCUGAAGGUCAAUAUACCAACAUGCUAACUGACUUUUCUGAGAGGUGAAACUGUAAGUGAUUUUACUUUACUUCUUUACAUUUCCUGCAGCCCACAAAUAAUUUUUUUUAAUUUUUAAUUUUUGUGAGUACACAAUAGGUGUGCAUAUUUAUGAGGUACAUGAGAUAUUUUGAUACAGGUAUAUAACACAUAAUAAUCAUAUCAGGGUAAAUGGGGGUAUCCAUCACCUCAAGCAAUUAUCAUGACUGUGUUACAAAUAUUCCGAUAAUAC
rnacentral:lncRNA from 10 species